rnacentral:rRNA from 1 species
ACUCUCGGCAACGGAUAUCUCGGCUCUCGCAUCGAUGAAGAACGUAGCAAAAUGCGAUACCUGGUGUGAAUUGCAGAAUCCCGCGAACCAUCGAGUUUUUGAACGCAAGUUGCGCCCGAAGCCAUCUGGCGGAGGGCACGUCUGCCUGGGCGUCACGCCAAAAGACACUCCCAACACCCCCCCGCGGGGCGAGGGACGUGGCGUCUGGCCCCCCGCGCUGUAGGGCGAGGUGGGCCGAAGCAGGGGCUGCCGACGAACCGCGCCGGGCGCAGCACGUCUUGGGCGACAUCAAGUUGUUCUCGGUGCAGCGUCCCGGCGCGCGGCCGGCCAUUCGGCCCUAAGGACCCAUCGAGCGACCGAGCUUGCCCUCGGACCGCGACCCCAGGUCAGUCGGGACUACCCGCUGAGUUUAAGCAUAUAAAUAAGCGGAGGAGAAGAAACUUACGAGGAUUCCCCUAGUAACGGCGAGCGAACCGGGAGCAGCCCAGCUUGAGAAUCGGGCGGCCUCGCCGCCCGAAUUGUAGUCUGGAGAGGCGUCCUCAGCGACGGACCGGGCCCAAGUUCUCUGGAAAGGGACGCCUGGGAGGGUGAGAGCCCCGUCCGGCCCGGACCCUGUCGCACCACGAGGCGCCGUCAACGAGUCGGGUUGUUUGGGAAUGCAGCCCAAAUCGGGCGGUAAACUCCGUCCAAGGCUAAAUACAGGCGAGAGACCGAUAGCGAACAAGUACCACAAGGGAAAGAUGAAAAGGACUUUGAAAAGAGAGUCAAAGAGUGCUUGAAAUUGCUGGGAGGGAAGCGGAUGGGGCUGGCGCGCCCCUCGGGGCGCUGCGCCGCAACGGCCUGCGAGCUCCCCAUCCGACCCGUCUUGAAACACGGACCAAGGAGUCUGACAUGCGUGCGAGUCGACGGGUUCAGAAACCUGAGAUGCGCAAGGAAGCUGACGAGCGGGAGGCCCUCACGAGCCGCACCGUUGGCCGACCCUGAUCUUCUGUGAAGGGUUCGAGUUGGAGCACGCCUGUCGGGACCCGAAAGAUGGUGAACUAUGCCUGAGCGGGGCGAAGCCAGAGGAAACUCUGGUGGAGGCUCGAAGCGAUACUGACGUGCAAAUCGUUCGUCUGACUUGGGUAUAGGGGCGAAAGACUAAUCGAACCACCUAGUAGCUGGUUCCCUCCGAAGUUUCCCUCAGGAUAGCUAGAGCCCACACGAGUUCUAUCGGGUAAAGCCAAUGAUUAGAGGCAUCGGGGGCGCAACGCCCUCGACCUAUUCUCAAACUUUAAAUAGGUAGGACGGCGCGGCUGCUUUGGUGAGCCGUGCCACGGAAUCGGGAGCUCCAAGUGGGCCAUUUUUGGUAAGCAGAACUGGCGAUGCGGGAUGAACCGGAAGCCGGGUUACGGUGCCAAACUGCGCGCUAACCUAGAACCCACAAAGGGUGUUGGUCGAUUAAGACAGCAGGACGGUGGUCAUGGAAGUCGAAAUCCGCUAAGGAGUGUGUAACAACUCACCUGCCGAAUCAACUAGCCCCGAAAAUGGAUGGCGCUGAAGCGCGCGACCCACACCCGGCCAUCUGGGCGAGCGACAUGCCCCGAUGAGUAGGAGGGCGCGGCGGCCGCCGCAAAACCCGGGGCGCGAGCCCGGGCGGAGCGGCCGUCGGUGCAGAUCUUGGUGGUAGUAGCAAAUAUUCAAAUGAGAACUUUGAAGGCCGAAGAGGAGAAAGGUUCCAUGUGAACGGCACUUGCACAUGGGUAAGCCGAUCCUAAGGGACGGGGGAAACCCGGCAGAUAGCGCGAUCACGCGCGUCACCCGAAAGGGAAUCGGGUUAAGAUUUCCCGAGCCGGGACGUGGCGGCAGACGGCGACGUUAGGAAGUCCGGAGACGCCUGUCACACCCGGUUUUGGAAGGCAAACCGAAUGCGAACUAUGUACGUGCCAGGAUCAGAACUCACGUACACAGCGAUUACAUAAAUGAACAUCAUCGCACAAUGCUCGAAUAAUAACUUAAAAGAGUAUUAACUUAUUACAUCACAGAGUCAUAGACAUCAACAUAGUCAUCGUCUUGACAGGUAAAUCAAAGUACUAGCGAAACGCAGUAAAGAAAAGGCCUCCACAGGCAGCUGACUGGGGGUUGCCGCCAACCCACACCUAGAAUUCGUCGUAGUCUUGAAACUCCUGGAAGUCUCCUUCCACGACUUCGCCUUCUCCUGAGCAUUGAUUACAAUGCGGACAACCUGGUGUUUUGUGGUAAAGCAAGGAUGAGUACACAUCAACGUACUCAGCAAAUGUCCCGUUUGGCUGAAGUGGACUAGCUUUAUGUGGGGUUAGGCUCAAGCAGUUGCUUUUAGUUGGUCAAGUAUUUAUCAUUAGUAGAAGCCAGAUUUUAGCAUUAACCAACCCGUAAACCAUUUCCUCCUCGAGGAACAACAUCAUCAUAGUCGAACCAAAACCAUAACAUAAUCCUUGU